AAAAACAUAAAAAUCCCCCCUUCUAUUACAUUCAGAUCUGGCAUUUAUAGCCAUUUCAAUACAAUAUUUUAAAUUUCUUGCCAUUGCUUCCUGACGUCUGCCUCUGUCUUAGUGUUUGCUUUCUUUUUGUCUUAUUCUGCAGGUGACGGAAAUCAACAGGUGGGCGCACAUGGAGGAGUUGGUGGGAGUGUCAGACGCGUGGGGCGUGGUGGCCAAGGCUGAGGGGCAUGGUGGCCAACAUGGUGGCAUGGAGAGCUGGGGUUUGCUGCUGAAAUUUUGCUGAAAAAUGUUUUAGAUUUUGGGCCUUUUGGGCUUUAGGGUUUUGAUUUGUUUGGGUUUAAAUUUUGGGUCAGAUUUUGGGUUUGUAAAUGGGCUGUUACUUUUGGGUUUAUUAUUUGAGUUAUUUUGUUGGUAUGGGCCCGGGCAAAAUGGGCUCGUACAUUUACCUAAUGCCUACAUGUUUGCUAAUUUUCUAGGGUUACCGGAUAAAUUUUGAUCACACCUUUGGUCAUCCAAAUCACAUUUGUAUGAACUCAAAUUUCGAUAGAUUGAUCAAAAUUACCUUCUUAGUAAUUAGAACCAUCA
rnacentral:lncRNA from 1 species